rnacentral:rRNA from 1 species
GAGUUUACUCCUGAGGUGGCGAGCGGCGGACGGGUGAGUAAUGCCUAGGGAUCUGCCCAGUCGAGGGGGAUAACAGUUGGAAACGACUGCUAAUACCGCAUACGCCCUACGGGGGAAAGGGGGGGACUUUCGGGCCUCUCGCGAUUGGAUGAACCUAGGUGGGAUUAGCUAGUUGGUGAGGUAAUGGCUCACCAAGGCGACGAUCCCUAGCUGUUCUGAGAGGAUGAUCAGCCACACUGGGACUGAGACACGGCCCAGACUCCUACGGGAGGCAGCAGUGGGGAAUAUUGCACAAUGGGGGAAACCCUGAUGCAGCCAUGCCGCGUGUGUGAAGAAGGCCUUCGGGUUGUAAAGCACUUUCAGUAGGGAGGAAAGGUUGUAAGUUAAUACCUUGCAGCUGUGACGUUACCUACAGAAGAAGGACCGGCUAACUCCGUGCCAGCAGCCGCGGUAAUACGGAGGGUCCAAGCGUUAAUCGGAAUUACUGGGCGUAAAGCGUGCGCAGGCGGUUUGUUAAGCGAGAUGUGAAAGCCCCGGGCUCAACCUGGGAAUUGCAUUUCGAACUGGCAAACUAGAGUCUU